rnacentral:rRNA from 1 species
GAUGAACGCUGGCGGCGUGCCUAAUACAUGCAAGUCGAGCGAACAGACGAGGAGCUUGCUCCUCUGACGUUAGCGGCGGACGGGUGAGUAACACGUGGAUAACCUACCUAUAAGACUGGGAUAACUUCGGGAAACCGGAGCUAAUACCGGAUAAUAUAUUGAACCGCAUGGUUCAAUAGUGAAAGACGGUUUUGCUGUCACUUAUAGAUGGAUCCGCGCCGCAUUAGCUAGUUGGUAAGGUAACGGCUUACCAAGGCAACGAUGCGUAGCCGACCUGAGAGGGUGAUCGGACACCCGGGAAGUGAGACAGAGUCCAGACUCCUACGGGAGGCAGCAGUAGGGAAUCUUACGCAAGGGGGGAAAGCCUGACGGAGCAACGCCGCGUGAGUGAUGAAGGUCUUCGGAUCGUAAAACUCUGUUAUUAGGGAAGAACAAAUGUGUAAGUAACUAUGCACGUCUUGACGGUACCUAAUCAGAAAGCCACGGCUAACUACGUG